AUUGAACGCUGGCGGCAGGCCUAACACAUGCAAGUCGAACGGUAACAGGAAGAAGCUUGCUUCUUUGCUGACGAGUGGCGGACGGGUGAGUAAUGUCUGGGAAACUGCCUGAUGGCGGGGGAUAACUACUGGAAACGGUAGCUAUUACCGCAUAACGUCGCAAGACCAAAGAGGGGGACCUUCGGGCCUCUUGCCAUCGGAUGUGCCCAGAUGGGAUUAGCUCGUAGGUGGGGUAACGGCUCACCUAGGCGACGAUCCCUAGCUGGUCUGAGAGGAUGACAGGCCACACUGGAACGGAGAAACGGUCCAGACUCCAAGGGGAGGCAGCGGUGGGGAAUAUUGCACAAGGGGCGCAAGCCUGAUGCAGCCAUGCGGGGUGGAUGAAGAAGGCCUUCGGGUGGUAAAGUACUUUCAGCGGGGAGGAAGGGAGUAAAGUUAAUACCUUUACUCAUGGACGUAACCCGCAGAAGAAGCACCGGCUAACUCCGU
rnacentral:rRNA from 1 species